CCUACGGGAGGCAGCAGUAGGGAAUAUUCCACAAUGGGGGAAACCUUGAUGCAGCAACGCCGCGUGAGUGAAGAAGUACUCCGGUAUGUAAAGCCCUGUCAGCAGGGAAGAAAAUGACUGUACCUGACCAAGAAUCCCGUGCUAACUACGUGCCAGCAGCCGCGGUAUUACUGGGUAUGAGAGCGUUAGCCGGAUAGAUGGGGGUUAAAGUGUGCGGAGGCUGUGAGGUAAGUCAGCGGAGAAAUGGCCCCGCUCAAGGGGGUGAAGUGCCAUUGAUACUGCCUUGCUGGAAUGCGGAUGAGGUCGGAGGAAUGUGAGGUGUAGCGGUGAAAUGCAUAGAUAUAAGACAGAACACCGAUUGCGAAGGCAUCUGACGAAUCCGCGAUUGACGCUGAUGCACGAAAGCGUGGGUAUCAAACAGGAUUAGAUACCCCAGUAGUC
rnacentral:rRNA from 1 species